rnacentral:rRNA from 1 species
GGAGGUUACUGCUAUCGGAGUUCGAUUAAGCCAUGCGAGUCUAAAGGUUUNUUNGGAAACCUUGGCGGACUGCUCAGUAACACGUGGAUAACCUACCCUUGGGACUGGAAUAACCCCGGGAAACUGGGGAUAAUACNGGAUAGAUCAGGGAUGCUGGAAUGCGCCUUGAUCCAAAGCUCCGGCGCCCAAGGAUGGGUCUGCGGCCUAUCAGGUUGUAGUGGGUGUAACGUACCUACUAGCCGACGACGGGUACGGGUUGUGAGAGCAAGAGCCCGGAGAUGGAUUCUGAGACACGAAUCCAGGCCCUACGGGGUGCAGCAGGCGCGAAACCUUUACAAUGUGCGAAAGCAUGAUAAGUGAACUCCGAGUGCCAGUAUCUAAUACUGGCUGUCCUUGUGCCUAAAACGCACAAGAUAGCAAGGGCCGGGUAAGACCGGUGCCAGCCGCCGCGGUAACACCGGCGGCCCGAGUGGUAGCCGCUAUUAUUGGGUCUAAAGGGUCCGUAGCCGGUUCGAUAAGUCCUCUGGGAAAUCUGGUUGCUUAACAAUCAGACUGCCAAGGGAUACUGUCGAACUUGAGACCGGGAGAGGUAAGAGGUACUUCAGGGGUAGGAGUGAAAUCUUGUAAUCCCUGGGGGACCAUCUGUGGCGAAGGCGUCUUACCAGAACGGGUCUGACGGUGAGGGACGAAAGCUGGGGGCGCAAACCGGAUUAGAUACCCGGGUAGUCCCAGCCGUAAACGAUGCUCGCUAUGUGUCAGGUACGGUGUGACCGUAUCUGGUGCCGUAGGGAAGCCGUGAAGCGAGCCACCUGGGAAGUACGGCCGCAAGGCUGAAACUUAAAGGAAUUGGCGGG